CAAUUGCGAAAUGAAAAAAGUGCUAGAAAUUUGAUUUAUAGAAUAAAAAUAUUGAUCUUUGCUAUUAUUUAUAUUUAAAUUUUCAUCACAGAUUCUCCAAAGGAAGAGAGAGUAAUUUCGCCGAACGUUUUAACACCGAAAAAAUUUUGCCUCUACUAUUAUUAUUAUAUCUGAUUUAUCCUGGCUUUAAUCUUGUUGGUCGUUCACCGAAGCACUUCAGGAAUAUUUGUACCGGUUCAUGUAUAACGAACGGUAAUUUAAUUUCGACCUGGACUGUAAGGAUUGAUGUAGCCCAGUCCAAUUCCCAUGAAAACCGUUUCGUAGAAAUGAAACACCAUCAGAUGUUUGCAUUUCUGCUCGAAAGUACAAUACCAGAGCAAUUUUCAAUGAAAAACUGUAUUAAUCACACUUUUUUUUGCACAAAUAUGGUUGCUGAAAAUAAGUUGGGAAAAUCAACGAAAAAAUUAGUUUUUCUACGGACUUUUCUUGAAUAUCUGCAUAUGUGGUAACCCGGCUUACGAAUUUGAUAAUGAGCAGAGAAGAAUCGAUGAAAAAACAGAACCAUAUGAUUGUGUUGUCGUUUAUAGACGUCAGAAUUCUGUCAGUACAGAGCGGUUGCAGUUAUGAUCACAUUUUUGAUUCAGUCUACUUUCGUACUGUGCAGUUCGAUUUGGAGUGAGAACUGUGCAAUACGAAUACGAAAGUUGAAACAUGAACGGAAGAAGGAUCACAGUAGGCGUGUGCGUCGGGAGUGAAAAAUUUUCGUUCCCGUCAAAAUUUUUUUCGUGAAUAAUAGUUUUCGUCGGUUAUUGAUAUCUAGAAAGCAGGAGUGAAAUCCAAAGGGUCAAAUUUUUCACGUUCUUCGGUUUUUGUGGUGAUUAUCUAACAGUUUAAUUAUUUACCCGCCUGGAAUCACAACAAAGAGGAAAAGCACAACGUACGAAUCAAUUUCGGUCCGGUCAAUUUUGCGCAUGGUGCUGGAACUCUCGACGAGGAAACUGUCCUAAGGACCGAUCUGCCUGCCAGUCUCUUGCAUCAUGGAACAACGGAGAAGCUGAUCAAGGACAAUACGUAUACAUAAGCGCUACCGCGUGUAAUCCGCCAAGAUCAUCAUCACAAUGCAACUCAACUCAUACGAAAGUUGAAACAUGAACGAUUUGUAAAGAAAAAAUAUUAACCGAUAAACAAUUAACUUAGGACAGAGCCUAUUUCUCAUAAUUCAAAACGAACCAGCAUCCAUUUACAACAGCAGCAGUGUAAUGUAAACACCGAUCUUACGGAACAGUUUGAAAGUAAGCCCAAUUAUGCAACAACGUCUACGUUAGUAUAUCAAAUUACGGCUUCUAUUGUACACACACAUUCAAUUACCUGCCCAGGCCGCGGUCUCAUUAUGCGCAAAAGGCAAAUCUAUUCCGCUAUCGAACCGCCGAACUCCCGCAGUCUUCGACCGACCAAUCAUUAUUCGGACCAGUGUGCGUCAGUCAAUUUCUGUCAGUUCGAAAAUGUCAAUGUCAAAUCGACAGCCGUCGGGUAGAUUCAAGCCUCAAGUGUUCCUUUUCUUCUCUCUAUUCGGCAUUCGGCAUCACCUAAACCCGAACAACAGCGCUCCUCCGAGCCCCUGAACAGUCAAUUUCGGUAAUCGAAAAAGUUCGGCGUGGUUUGAAGGGUGCGGACCCCUUGCGAAUGGACCGUCAAUUAUGAGCUACCCCGUCGGAGCUCGGAGAAAAAACGGACAUAACACUUGCACCCGUUUGCGAUGCGAUGACAUAAUUCCGCAGUUCCGCAAGCCGUGGCCAUCGGGAGAUGUUGACGACUAGCGCGCGUCCCCCCGGAUUUCCGAUAGUCCCACAGCGACGAUCGACCGACCGACCGCGCACGAGAGUUCAACGAGUCAAUUGAAUUUGUUGAAUAUAGCGAUUUGUUGUGUUCGCUUAAUUGGAGAACGUUUCGCGAUUUCUUUCUUUCUUUCCCGACAAAAACCUUGGAGACAGGAGCCAACCGCGGUACUUUUAUGGGUAUCGAGUGUAGUCAUUGUUGUUGUUUGUUUUGCAAUAGAGAUUUGGAGCAGGGAGCAGCGGGAGGGACAAAGAUCCCGGAACGAGCGGGUCGUCGUCGAUGGAUCUAUUAUAGAGUGUAACUUGUUUGGCCUGCGUUGCCGAGCCCGCUGUCACUUGGCCCGGACAAUCGAACAGACUGCGCACCUACGCUGAAGGAGUUCCCGUGCAAAUAACUGUUCAAAGUCAUUCGACUUCUGCUGCUGCUGCUGCUGCUGUUGCUGCUUCUGUUGGGUCCCAGUCCGAAUUAGAGAGACAAUCGAGAAAGUUUUCGCGAUAUGCACUUUUUCGCGCUAGGACCACGUGAACGUAAUUUAAUGCUUCCGCGACGAUCGGAGAAAGAGUUAAAGAGGAAGUAGGAAAUUACUGUUCGAUCGCGAGUCGAUUGUUGAUGCCUAAUUGGCGAAAAUUAGAUCUUGUUGCCGAUUAAACCCGGGGGACCGCUACUGUCAGCUGCGAGCUGCUCCCCCGUCGACGAAAGAAAGUCUCAACAAGGUUUUAUUGUUUGAUUCGAUGGCGGUGCGGUGCGGAGGAUCUACAAUCCGAUCAUGCAAAACCCGUAGGACGCCAAUAUUCUCACGGAAGGCUCUUGGUAAGCACCGUAAGCUAAGUUUGUGUGAGUGUGGAUGAAGCAAAGUACUGACAUGGUAAUGUGGCCAUUGUCGAAUUAAUUGAACAUGAUUUGGCACUACCGCGGCGGGCCAAUGGAUUUGUGGCCAAUCGAGCAGGUGAUUCGUUCGGAAGUGAAUGGGAGAAACCUAUGGCCCUUACGGUACUAAUCAGC